UACGGAGGGAGCUAGCGUUGUUCGGAAUUACUGGGCGUAAAGCGCGCGUAGGCGGCUUUGUAAGUUAGAGGUGAAAGCCCGGAGCUCAACUCCGGAACUGCCUUUAAAACUGCAUCGCUUGAAUCCAGGAGAGGUGAGUGGAAUUCCGAGUGUAGAGGUGAAAUUCGUAGAUAUUCGGAAGAACACCAGUGGCGAAGGCGGCUCACUGGACUGGUAUUGACGCUGAGGUG
rnacentral:rRNA from 1 species